AUGAAAGAAGUGGUAAGAAAGGAAAUACUAAAGCUCCUCGAGGCAGGUAUAAUCUAUCCCAUUGUUGAUAGUCAGUGGGUAAGUCAUGUCCAUUGUGUCCCUAAGAAGGGAGGUAUUACUGUCGUUCCUAAUGAUAAAGAUGAAUUGAUUCCUCAAAGAAUUAUUACAGGUUAUAGGAUGGUAAUUGAUUUCCGCAAAUUAAAUAAGGCCACUAAAAAGGAUCAUUACCCCUUACCUUUUAUCGAUCAGAUGCUAGAAAGAUUAUCCAAACAUACACAUUUUUUGCUUUCUAGAUGGUUAUUCUGGUUCCUCUCAAAUACCUGUGUCAGCCAAGGAUUAAUCAAAGACCACUUUUACUUGCCCUUUUGGUACUUUUGCUUAUAG
rnacentral:rRNA from 1 species